rnacentral:lncRNA from 7 species
CCAUGACUUAGGCCGCGCCACCGUGUCCGCCAUCGCCGACCUGCUCACACGAUCGCACCUUCCGCAACUCUUUGUUCCAUCCGAGCACCCCAGCACCCUCACUACACUCCGUCACGGAACGCCGCCGUCGUGGAAGCUCAGCUCACAUGGUCCGGACGAUUUGGGCGUUCUCUGUCCAAUUAGGGAACGCCAUUGACAUCGUCAUGACCCAGUGAAGUUUCUAGGAUGCUUUGUUAAAACCCUACCAUGCUUGAAUGACUAAUCACUAACCUUCAACGAGCCUCCUCCACCUGUGCGCGUGGCUAGAGCUGCUCCAACCACCUUCGCAUGAUCAAAUCACACCGCCUUGUUCGCUUGGAGCUCCUCCAACUCCCCGACCCACUCACUAGAUAGCUCUAUCACCGCUGAUGAGUGCCUCUGCCGCCAAAACCUUUCCCUGCUCUAUUUUUGAAGAACUGGACCGCGUGUUCGAUUCGAGGAAAAUACAGGGACUUCCUUAAAAACUGUCAAUGACUCAUGUAAAUAGUAUAGCAGGGACCGUUUUAAAUGAAAUAGAAAAGCUAAAGCCCGAGGGCCCAAAUACAAAUUUGUUUUUCCUUUUUCUUUUUUGAUUUUUCUUUUAAAAACUUGCAGGACCUUCUAAAAGCC